AUUGAACGCUGGCGGCAUGCCUUACACAUGCAAGUCGAACGGCAGCACGGGAGCAAUCCUGGUGGCGAGUGGCGAACGGGUGAGUAAUAUAUCGGAACGUGCCCAGUCGUGGGGGAUAACGCAGCGAAAGCUGUGCUAAUACCGCAUACGAUCUAAGGAUGAAAGCGGGGGAUCGCAAGACCUCGCGCGAUUGGAGCGGCCGAUAUCAGAUUAGCUAGUUGGUGGGGUAAAGGCCCACCAAGGCGACGAUCUGGAGCUGGUCUGAGAGGACGACCAGCCAAACUGGAACUGAGACACGGUCCAGACUCCUACGGGAGGCAGCAGUGGGGAAUUUUGGACAAUGGGCGCAAGCCUGAUCCAGCAAUGCCGCGUGCAGGAUGAAGGCCUUCGGGUUGUAAACUGCUUUUGUACGGAACGAAACGGCCCUUUCUAAUACAAGGGGCUAAUGACGGUACCGUAAGAAUAAGCACCGGCUAACUACGUGCCAGCCGCCGCAGUAAGAC
rnacentral:rRNA from 1 species